CCUGACACACAGACAAAAGGAAAAAGAGAAGGAGGGACAAGGAGGCAGGACUGAGAGGGGAAGGGACAGAGAGGUGUCCUGGGCACAGAGCCUGCCCAUGAGCCUGAGAAGUGCUCCUGCCUUGGGAAGAGGCUCAGCACAGAAGGAGGAAGGACAGCACAGCUGACAGCCGUGCUCAGAAAGUUUCUGGAUCCCAGGCUCAUCUCCACAGAGGAGAACACGCAGGCAGCACAGGCCAUGGGGCCCCUCUCAGCCCCUCCCUGCACACUGCACAUCACCUGGAAGGAUCUCCUGCUCACAGCAUCACUUUUAAUUUUCUGGAACUCGCCAACCACUGCCCAAGUCAGGAUUGAAGCUCAGCCAACCAAAGUUUCUGAGGGGAAGGAUAUUCUUCUACUUGUCCACAAUUUGCCCCAGAAUGUUGCUGGCUACAUCUGGUACAAAGGGCAAAUAAUGGACCUCCAGCAUUACAUUACAGCAUAUACAAUAGACACUGAAACAAUUAUAUUUGGGCCUGCAUACAGUGGAUGAGAAACAGUAUAUUCCAAUGCAUCCCUGCUGAUCCAGAGUGUCAACCAGAAGGAUGCAGGAUCCUACACUGUAGAAAUCAUCAUAAAGCGAGGUGAUGGGACUGAAGGAGUAACUGGACAUUUCACCUUAUACCUGGAGACUCCCAAGCCCUACAUCUCCAGCAGCAACUUAAACCCCAGGGAGGCCGCGGAGACUGUGAUCUUAUCCUGUGAUCCUGACACUCAGGACGCAAGAUACUUGUUGUGGAUAAAUGGACAGAGCCUCCGUAACAGUCGCACGUUGCAGCUGUCCAAGAACAACAGGAUCCUCAUUCUAUUUGUUGUCACAAAGGAUACUACAGGACCCUAUGAAUGUGAAAUGAAGAACCCAGUGAGUUCCAGCCGCAGUGACCCAGUCACCCUGAAUCUCCUCUGUGAGUAUCUUCUGUUCCUCUGUGAGCCAGGCUGCCAUCCCAAAUACACGUGGCCAGAGGCCAAGCCUCUCAGUCCCUCUCAGGUGCAAGUACAGAGACUUUUACCCCUGGACAUCAAAGCUGGCCAUGAUGACGAAGAGUAGGCUUAUACUUGAUCAACAGUGGGAGAGAAGAGGCUGCUCCUGUCAUGGGAGAAUCAGGUUCCACAGCUUAUGAUGGGAAAAACAGGUGAGUGUCUCAGGCUCCAGAUCAGUGAACACAGCAGGGAUUUGGCUGGGACUUUAAUGUUGUGACUUAGCUCACAGGGUCACUGUGGCCCUUCCUCUUUGCUCCAGAUGGCCUGCAUGCCCCCACCAUUUCUUCUGCAUACACCUAUUACCAUCCAGGGGAAGUCCCCAAGCUCUCUUGUCUCACAGACUCUCACCCACUGGCAGAGCAUUCUUGGCUGAUUGAUGGGAAGUUCCAGCAAUCAGCACAAGUAUUCUUUAUGUCCCAAAUCACUAAAACAUAUAGAGGGUGCUAUAUCUGGUUCAUCCAUAACUCAGCCACUGGUGGAACAAAUCUCAUAAUCAAGAGGAUCAUAGUCCCUGGUAAGUGGAUCCCUGGAGCAUUGGCAAUAUGUUUUCCAGUGAAGCCUAUCUGGCUAUCAGGGAAGAGCCGUGUGUCCUCUGCAAAGGGAGAGGGAAAAUCAAAAUCCCAGUACAGGGAAUAUGUUUCUGCUUCAAAACCACCAGCUUUUGCCUGUAACUUUCACUCAUUCUAGAUCAUUCUUUAGAGUAUGCACUAACAAUGAACAAUAUGAAUGGAACUUCAGAAAGAAUGUACAUUCUAUUCAUCAGCACAUGAAACUUUCUUCAAGAUAGGCCAUAGAAUAGGCCACAAAACAAGUCUCAAAAAAUUUAAGAAAAUUGAAAUUAUAUGAAGUAAUCUCUCAGACAACAGUAGAAUUAAAC